UACGGGGGGGGCAAGCGUUGUUCGGAAUUACUGGGCGUAAAGGGCUCGUAGGUGGCCAACUAAGUCAGACGUGAAAUCCCUCGGCUUAACCGGGGAACUGCGUCUGAUACUGGAUGGCUUGAGUUUGGGAGAGGGACGCGGAAUUCCAGGUGUAGCGGUGAAAUGCGUAGAUAUCUGGAGGAACACCGGUGGCGAAGGCGGCAUCCUGGACCAGUAU
rnacentral:rRNA from 1 species